CCUACGGGUGACAGCAGUGGGGAAUAUUGCGCAAUGGGCGAAAGCCUGACGCAGCGACGCCGCGUGAAGGAUGACUGCCCUACGGGUUGUAAACUUCUUUUAUCAAGGAAUAAAGUGAGGCACGUGUGCCUUUUUGUAUGUAUUUUAUGAAUAAGGCUCGGCUAACCCCGUGCCCGCAGCCGCGGUAAUUCGGAGGAUCCGAGCGUUAUCCGGAUUUUUUGGGUUUAAAGGGAGCGUAGAUGGGUUGUUAAGUCAGUUGUGAAAGUUUGCGGCUCAACCGUAAAAUUGCAAUUGAUACUGGCAUCCUUGAGUACAGUUGAGGUAGGCGGAAUUCGUGGUGUAGCGGUGAAAUGCUUAGAUAUCACGAAGAACUCCGAUUGCGAAGGCAGCCUACUAAACUGCCACUGACAUUGAUGCUCGAAAGUGUGGGUAUCAAACAGGAUUAGAUACCCUUGUAGUC
rnacentral:rRNA from 1 species